rnacentral:lncRNA from 10 species
GAACAUAUCAUGCAUUUGUCCUAUUACUGGAUAAGUAAAUUAAGGGUGCACAAGAGGAGAGAAAAUGAGAUCUGAUAGAAAACUUCACCGUGAGACUUCAAGAAUAUCUGCAGAGAAACUCAUCAAAAGGAUAACUGAAAAUCCUGAAAGGUACUUUAAGUCAGGAGUUCAUGAGUUUUCAGUAUUCUGUGGGAGAAAGAAUCUACGGGAAUAGCAGUUCCUGUGCUCCACUUGAACCUGCGUCAAGAUAUUUAAAAGCAGGGAAUGCUGCUUUGAAGGAAAGCCACAGAAGUUGGCUUAUGUGCUGUGGAGACAGUGUGGCCCCCUUCCACUCCCAGAUUGUGGGAAGAAACCUCAAGUGGCCUGCAAGCUGGACGUGGCUGGUCAUCAUAUUUCCUGCAUCAUCAGUCAGAAAAUGGCAUGCAGCUGUAUUUUCACUGAACCACACUGUGCGGGGACACAAUUGGAGACACUGGCUACUUUAUCAAGGCUUAAAUUGGAAUGACAUGCUUUCAGAUAUAAACAGACUGCUUGAAGGAAUCAAAGUUGACUUAUAGAGCCAAUAAAAGCCCCUUGGGAGAACUGGACUUAUACCUUAUUUACACAGUCCCUGUACAGAGUUCCUGACCUGUGGUAAAUAAUUUUUGACGGGCCCAGGCUCAAGAGGAGAGAUAUUCAUCCAAUCAUAUAAGCAUCUGAAGGCACAGAUAAAUUUGCGGCUGGGCUCAAGGCUUUAAAAAGUCUAAUCUGAGAUUCCUUAUGGAGAAACCUCCAGAAAAGCCAAUUUUUAAAAAGUCUAUAUGGAUUAGUCCAUUCUUGCACUGCUAUAAAGAAAUACCUGAAACUGGAUAAUUUAUAAGAAAAGAGGUUUAAUUGGCUCAUUGUUUCACAGGCUGUACAGGAAGUAUGGCUGGAAGGCCUCUGGAAACUUUCAGUCAUGGCAGAAAGUGAAGGAGAAGCAGACACGUCUCACAUGGACAAAGAAGGCAGAACAGAGAGAGAAGGGGGAGGUGCUGCACACUUUUAAGCAACCAGAUCUCAUGAUAACUCACUCAUUAUCAUGAGAACAGCAAGGGAGAAGUCUGCCCACAUGAUCCAAUCACCUUGUACCAGGCCCCUACUCCAACACUAGGGAUUACAAUUUGACAUGAGAUUUGGGUGGGGACACAAAUCCAAACCAUAUCAUUCUUCCCCUGGCUCCUCCCAUAUCUCAUGUCCUUCUCACAUUGCAAAAUAUAAUCACCUCUUUUCAACAGUCCCCUGAAAUGUUAAUUCAUUUCAGCAUUAACUCAAAAGUUCAUAGUCAAAAGUCUCAUUUGAGAUGAGGAAAGUCCCUUCUGCCUAUGUAAAAUAAAAAACAAGUUAGUUAUGUCCAAGAUACAAUGAGGGUACAGGCAUUUCAUAAGUACACCUAUUCCCAAAGGGAGAAAUCAGCCAAGUUUUGGCAGCUCCACUCUUGUGGCUCUGCAAGAUAUAGCCUCCUUGGUUGAUUUCAUAGGUUGGAAUUGAGUGCCUGCAGCUUUUCCAUGUGCACAGUGCAAGCUGCCAGUGGAUCUACCAUUUUGAUGUCUAGAGGACAGUGGCCCUCUUCUCAUAGCUCCACCAGGCAGUGCUCCAGUUUGAGGACCCUGUAUGAGGGCCCUGCCACCACAUUUCCCCUCUGCACUGUCCUAGCAGAGGUUCUCCAUGAGGGCUUGCCCCUGCAGGCCCCUGCAGCAGACUUCUGCCUGGACAUCCAGGCAUUUCCAUACAUUCUCUGAGAUCUAGAUGGAGGCUCCCAAGCCUGAACUCUUGGCUUCUGUGCACCUGCAGACUUAACACCAUGUGGAAGCUGCCAAGGCUUAGGGCUUGCACCCUCUGGAGCAGUGGCCUGAGACCUAUCUGGGGCCCUUUUAGCUAUAGCAGGAGCUGGAGAAGAUAGGAUGCAGGGAGCAGUGUCUCAAGAUUGCACAAGGCAGCAGGGUCCUGGGCCUGGCCCAUGAAACCAUACCUCCCUCCUAGGCCUCCAGGCCUGUGAUGGGAGAGGCUGCCAUGAAGGUCUCUGAAACAUCUUCAAGGCAUUUUCUCCAUUGUUUUGGCUAUUAAUAUUUGGCUCCUCUUUAUUUAGGCAUAUUCCUCCCAUGAAAAUGAAUCUUUCUUUUCUACCACAUGGUCAGGCUGCAAAUUCCCUAAACUUUUAUGCUCUGCUUCCCCUUUGAAAAGUUUCAAUUUGAGAUAAUCUCUUUUCUCAUGCAUAUGACCAUAUGCUGUUAGAAGCAGCCAGGGCAGACCUUGAAUGCUUUGCUGCUUAGAUAUUUCUUUUGCCAGAUACCCUAAAUCCUCUCUCUCAAGUUCAAAGUUCCACAGAUCCCUAGAGCAGGGGCACAAUGCUACCAGUCUCUUUGCUAAAGGACAGCAAGAGUGACCUUUAGUCCAGUUCCCAAUAAGUUCCUCAUCUCCAUCUGAGACCACCUCAGCCUGGACUUCAUUGUCCAUAUUACUAUUGGCAUUUUGGUUGCAACAAUUUAAUAAGUCUCUAGGAAGAUUCAAACUUUCCCAUAUCUUCCUGUCUUCUUCUGAGCCCUCCAAAUUGUUCCAACUUCUGCCCACUAUCCAGUUCCAAAGCUGCUUCCACAUUUUCAGGUAUCUUUAUAGCAAUGCCCCACUCCCAGUAUUAAUUUUCUGUAUUAGUCCAUUCUUUCACUGCUUUAAAUAAAUACCUGAAACUGGGUAAUUUAUUAGAAAAGAGGUUUAAUUGGCUCACGGUUCUGCAAGCUGUAACAGGAACUAUAAUUCCUGUAGUAUUGUAGGAAUUGUAGUAGGCUGGAGAGGCCUCAGGAAACUUUUAAUCAUGGUUGAAGGUGAAGGGGAAGCAGGCACAUCUUACAUGGCCAGAGAAGGAGAAAGAGAGAGAGAAGGGAGAGGUGCUACACACUUUUAAACAACCAGAUCUCAUAAGAACUCAUUCACUAUCAUGAGAAUAGCAAGUGGAGAGUCUGCCCCCAUGAUCCAGUCACUUCCCACCAGACCUCUUCUCCAACACUGGGUAUUAUAAUUCAACAUGAGAUUAGGGUGGGGACACAAAUCCAAAUCAUAUCACCAUAUAACAAAUAAUUAUUCUUGCUGUACUUUAUGCAAAUAAUUGGGCCAAGUAUAAUUGGACUGAUAUGGUUUGGCUGUACCCUCACCCAAAACUUCAUCUUGAAUUGUAGUUCCCAUAAUCCUCAUGUGUCAUGGGAGGGACCCAGUGGUAGGUAAUUGAAUCAUGGGGGUGGUUACCCUCACAGUCUUCUCAUGAUAGUGAGUUCUCAUGUGAUCUGAUGGUUCUAUAAGAGGCUUUUCCCCCUUUUGCUUAGCUGCCACCUUCUCCUUGCUGCCACCAUGUGAAUAAGGAUGUGUUUGCUUUCCCUUCCACCAUGAUUAUAGGUUUCCUGAGGCCUCCCCGCCAUGCUGAACUGUGAGUCUAUUAAACCUUUUUCCUUUAUAAAUUAUUCAGUCUUGGAUGUGUCUUUAUUAGCAGUGUGAGAAUGGACUAAUACAUGAACUAAAGCUUAUUUUGCAAGUAAAUCAGUCCUACCAUGAUUUGUCUUUAAUAAAAUUCGGAGACUGGAGAGAGAAAAAUUAUGUUUCUAAAAACUAUAGUAUAAUUGUUGUUAGAUUUUGGUCUUGUUCAUUGUUUUUAAUUAAAAAAAUAUGUUCUACAGUUUGGACUGACUGAAAUUCUUUCUGGCCUGCAAGUCCCCAAAUUAAUGCUUACAAAUUUUUCUUCCAUAUUUCGGAUUUGGACUACUACCUUCUUUUUUCCCUGAGGCCCUACAAGCUAAAGCUUAUUCCUUGGGAUACAGUCAAGAAAAAUGUGUCAAAUUACCACAGCCUUCCUCCUCUGUAACUAAAAGUGUUUUGAAUUGGACAUCUGGAUAGAUUGUGCCUAACAUUAACCUUUUUCUUCUGUUUCCAUAGAAAUAUCUCUUAUUAAAAAUCUGUUUACCUUCAUCACUUAUAGGAGCAUAGCCCAUCUGCAAUGCCACCUCCUAGAAUGGGACACUACUGUUUAACUCAACUGAUCUAUUCUCAGGUCUAAAAAGCUGACUAAAAAUAUAUGAGAUGAUAUAUUUAAAUUUUCUCUUUUGUGUGUGUCCCAAUUUGUCUUUCUAACAACCUGACCCAAAUCUCUCUCUACUAGUGACCCUAUGUCUGAUUGGUUCUCAGAGCUAUUUGCCUGAAUCCCCCAGGGUUUCAAAUCAAUUCUACAAAGAAGACUGAAGCUCGGACUUUCACUCCUGACAUUAAGACUCAUUAUCUUCUAGUCUGCUGCUCACUGAAGUGCUGUGCUAAAACUGUGGAUGAGAGUACUAACAUCAUUGUCAUGCAAGUCUUGAAACCCCACCCAGGCACCUGUGAAUACAUGCAGACAGCUGCAGAGUAGUUUCACUCCUCUUACCUUUAAGAAUAAUGUGUGAUGAAACCCAAGAGGGGAGAUUAAAACUGCCUUUGCAAAGAUUAUGACAGUGAGAAAAAUUUGACAUGGGAAAAUUAUGACAGUGAAAGAAAUCUGGCCUAAUCAGCUGAUCUUGCUUCUAACCUCCAAGCUGCCUUUGUCCAUUGCUGGGGGUAGCCUGAACUAACUUUGGGAGUAAUUGAGUUUAUAAUUUAAUUUUGAAAAGAAGAAUGUAAAAAGCCCAUUCUCCAAACAACCUCCCCUCUCCUCUUGAUUAGGGACCAGACUGUCUUUGUAAAACCAACAAAUUAGCCACAAGAUUAGAAAUGAUGGCUUAGGAGUCACGCAGCCAGAGGCCACAAGAAUUCAAACUCCCAAUUGCUCCUAUAGAUAACCACUACUGUAAAACCUAAGAUUGAUGUUUGAGGUAUUUUUCAGAUCCUGAAUUCUGAAGAUCAGGUGGUGCCACCUAGACCAGUAAACUGGCUCAUCUGGUCUUGUGGUUCCCACCUAGGAACUGACUCAGCAUAAAAGGACAGCUUUGACUUCCUAUUAUUUCAUUCCCACCCUACCAUUCAGCAUUCCUCAUUUCCUAGCUGUCUGACUACCAAAAUAUCUUUAAAAAAAAACCUAGUCUUCGAAUUUUCAGGGAGGCUGGUUUGAGUAGUAAGAAAACUUCAGCAUCCCAUUUAGCUGACUCUACAUGUAUUAAACUCUUUAUUGCAAUUCCCUGUCUUGAUAAAUCAGCUGUUUAGGCAAUAGGCAAGAUGAACCUGUCAGGUGGUUACCAAGAUGUAGUACUUACUCAAUAAUUGCCUUUUAAAUAAAGAAAAAAUGUUAAAUAUUUUCUAUCUAGUUUGUCUGAUUAUGAAUGUGAGGGGUCACAAUGACAACAAUUUAUUAUUAUUAUUGCAAUUAAUCUUAGAGUUCCACAAAGAGGCCUCACCAAACAAUUUAAAAGGAAUUUAUUGCUAGAACUUUUUGCAGGUCAUGUUUAAAUGCACUUUCUGUUACUACACAACUGGGAGAUUGCUAUAUUGUCGAAGGCACUUGCUGUUCAUUUCUCUCUCAAAUCUCUUCCUCGAAUCCAGACUCAUCUCAUAUUGCUGGAAUUGGGUCAUGGGCAAGGCUCCAGCAAUGAUGUUUUGAGCCACAGGUAGCCCCCUGGCUGAAUGUAAUACUUGCCUGGUUUAUUUUUUAGAGCCUGGCCUUAAGCACUUUAUUCAAGGCCAUCAGUAUUAUUUUAUGUAAGUGAUUAACAUUUUUGGGGGGUACAGGUUCUUUUUUGUUAGGGUUAACACAGCAUAAUCUUCUAAUAGCAUAAAUUCCCAUUAGUAUCCACUGUUGCAUAAAAAAUGUUCAUUAUUAUAGUAAUUAGAAAUGUUAAUUUCCUAGAGCAAUUAUAACUUCCUUUACAUGGCAGUGUUUUUGAAAGAAUUUUAUUAAUUUAUUAUUUUUAUUAAUUUCAAUUUUAAUUUUAGAUUCAGUGGGUGCAUGUGCAGGUUUCUUAUAAGAGGAUACUGCAUGAUACUGAGGUUUGGGCUUCUACUGAUCCUGUCACCCAGACAGUGAACACAGUUCCCAGUAGGAAGUUUCCCAGGCUUUGCCGUCCUCGCCCCCUCCCUCCUUUCGGAGUCCCCAGUGUCUAUUGUUUCCACACAGACUCUUUUUGAGAAUCUGAUGAAAGUUAUGAACUCUCCAGAAGAAAUGUACACUGCUAUGGUUUGGCUCUGUGCUCCCCGCCCCCCAAAAUAUCACCUUGAAUUGAUUGUAAUAAUCCCCACAUGUCAAGGGCAGGACCAGGUGGAGAUAAUGGAAUCAUGGGGGCGGUUUCCCCCAGGCUGUUCUUGUUAUAGUGAGUGAGUUCUCCUGAGAUCUGAUGGUUUUAUAAGGGGCUUCCUUCUUUGCUCAGCACUUAUUCUCUCUCCUGCUGCCCUGUGAAGAGCUGCUUUCAGCCAUGAUUGUAAGUUUUCUGAGGCCUCUCCAGUCAUGUGGAACUGUAAGUCCAUUAAAGCUCUUUCCUUAUAAAUUACCCAGUCUAGUAUGUCUGUAUUAGCAAUCUGAGAACGGACGAAUACAUACGCAUAUACAGACACAACAGUUGGCACACAAAGUAUUUUUGCUUUCUAUAUCUGGUGGCCUAAGAACAUUUUCAUAUGUUUGUUACAUAUAUAGUUUUCUCCCCAUCUCCCAUUGCACAAACACAUGGGAGCUUGAUACUUAUUUUUUGGAAUGCAGAAUGUGAUAUUUUGCCUAUACCCCAUGGACUUCAGUAAGCAAGAAAAUGACUGUAGUUUUUAACCUUAAAAAAAAAAAAAUCAACCGGGAGAUGUCUCAGGCAAAAACAAUGAUUUUCCUGGACCUCUGGUUCUUAUAAGCUUCGGCAUUGUGUUGCCUCACUCCUCCAUUUGUAAUGCUAAUCAGGGUUUUAUUGAGAGUUUGCAGCGGUAGGCCCUAUGCUACUUGCUUUCCAUGAUAAUUUUAUUUAACCAUCACAACAACUCUAGAAGUAGG